GUAACAGCCCGCUUACCGGACCAUCACCGGCACUAGGAUCCAGAUCGGCUUAAGGCCGCCGGGACCCGUAGUAAGCCACCUGUAAACUCUGUGUACCUGAUAAGUCCCAUACAUGAUCACACUUAAACUUAAAACUGUUACUUACUCUUCUCUAUUAUAAUUUUUUUUUUUCUUUCUUUGCUUGACUAUCUUUUCUUUUCUUGAAACUUUUCUCAUUAACUAAGCCUGGACUAUGCAUGCUCUGUCU
rnacentral:lncRNA from 1 species